CGCUGGCGGCGUGCCUAAUACAUGCAAGUCGAGCGGACCCUUCGGGGUCAGCGGCGGACGGGUGAGUAACACGUGGGUAAUCUGCCCAACUGACCGGAAUAACGCCUGGAAGCGGGUGCUAAUGCCGGAUAGGCAACGAGGAGGCAUCUCCUUGUUGGGAAAGGUGCAACUGCACCGCAGAUGGAGGAGCCCGCGGCGCAUUAGCUAGUUGGUGGGGUAACGGCCUACCAAGGCGACGAUGCGUAGCCGACCUGAGAGGGUGGACGGCCACACUGGGACUGAGACACGGCCCAGACUCCUACGGGAGGCAGCAGUAGGGAAUCUUCCGCAAUGGGCGCAAGCCUGACGGAGCAACGCCGCGUGAGCGAAGAAGGCCUUCGGGUUGUAAAGCUCAGUCACUCGGGAAGAGCGGACGAAGGAGUGGAAAGCCUUCGUCGAGACGGUACCGAGAGAGGAAGCCCCGGCUAACUACGUGCCAGCAGCCGCGGUAAUACGUAGGGGGCAAGCGUUGUCCGGAAUCACUGGGCAUAAAGCGUGCGUAGGCGGUCGCGUGUGUCUGGGGUGAAAGUCCAGGGCUCAACUCUGGGAUUGCCUUGGAAACUGCGUGACUUGAGUACUGG
rnacentral:rRNA from 1 species